rnacentral:rRNA from 1 species
GGGUCAGUAGGUUGGUCGUGCCACCGGUACGUACUGGUCUCACUGAUUCCUCCUUCCUGAACAACCGUAAUGCCAUUAAUUUGGUGUUGCGGGGAAACAGGACUGUUACUUUGAAAAAAUUAGAGUGUUUAAAGCAAGCUAACGCUUGAAUACAUUAGCAUGGAAUAACGAAAUAGGACGAUCGAUCCUAUUUUGUUGGUUUCUAGGAUUGACGUA